rnacentral:rRNA from 1 species
AAAGUCGGAGGAAGGUGGGGAUGACGUCAAAUCAUCAUGCCCCUUAUGGACCUGGGCUACACACGUGCUACAAUGGGCGGUACAAAGGGUCGCGAACCCGCGAGGGGGAGCCAAUCCCAAAAAGCCCGCUCUCAGUUCGGAUUGGCAGGCUGCAACUCGCCUGCAUGAAGCCGGAAUCGCUAGUAAUCGCGGAUCAGCAUGCCGCGGUGAAUACGUUCCCGGGCCUU